UACAGAGGUCUCAAGCGUUGUUCGGAUUCAUUGGGCGUAAAGGGUGCGUAGGCGGCGCGGUAAGUCGGGUGUGAAAUCUCGGAGCUUAACUCCGAACUGCGUUCGAUACUGCCGUGCUUUGAGGACUGGAGAGGAGACUGGAAUUUACGGUGUAGCGGUGAAAUGCGUAGAUAUCGUAAGGAAGACCAGUGGCGAAGGCAGGGUCUCUGGACAGUUCCUGACGCUGAGGCACGAAGGUCAGGGGAGCAAACGGG
rnacentral:rRNA from 1 species